CCAGGGUGUUCUUGGACGCGUGGCUUAAAGUUCAGGAGCGGGUGGGAGGGUGCGGUGACGUCUAGAGGGCCGGCCGCCCGCGAGCACUUGGGGGCGGGCCGGGCGGCGAAGUGGGGCCCGUCCUCCCAGCCUGGGGUAAGGACAGCUGGGGUUUUCGUUGGGUGGUUCCCCCUCUUCCUGAUUUCGCACAUGCAAAUCCCCGCCCCCGCGCUGGCGGGCGUCCCGGAGCGCACUCGAGGGGAAGUGAGGAAGCUGCAGCGGCCUCUGCGCGCCUGUAAUUAAGGGCUAUUUGUCACAUGAAGAAGCUAUAGAUUUAUAUUAUCUCACCUUUUUAAAGGCUUUUUUGAAAAUCCUUUCACUAUUUUAGAAACUUGCUGAACCCUUUUUUCAAAGAUCCAGUCCACAUCUGAAAAGUGAAAAUGUUUCACUUGUGCAGGAUAAACUUAAUUAGAAAAAAAAGGAAGAUUACAAGACAAGGUGAUGGAUGGACUAAAAACAACAAAUGUGAGUAGUGGGAGAGACCUUCUGAAAUGGAGAGAGAUGCUCAGCCAGCCCAAGCUCUCCCAGUGCUCACUCUUCCAGCUCCUGGCACUGAAUGACUUCAACUGCAGAACCUAAGGCAGAACCACCCAGUGGAGCUCUUCCUGAAUUCUUGACCCACAGAAACCACGAGAGAUAAUAAAAUGAUUGUUGUCAUUUUAAGCCAGUGAGCUUUGGGGUGGUUUGUUAUGCAGCAAUAGAUAGCCGGAACAAUAGAUGAGAUGAUUUAAAUGCUAUGGCUCUUUAAUAAGUAAGGAAAAAACUCUAGGACCAUUAGAAGUCAUUAUAGCUAAUUACUAUAACGAGCUAGAUGAACUGGUGGUUUCCAGUGAGAGGAUCUGUUACCGAUAAUUAAAGCAAAUAAUUAAUUGGUGAGGCCAAGUAAUAUUUUUAAAAAAUCUUGACUCUGAAAGAACUUCACUUUAUGUAAACAUGAAAUGUUUAAAGAUUAUGUUGUAUUUCUCAAAGGCAAUUUGUGUAAGUAAUUUUUUUUUUUUACCAAUUUUUCUUCCUAUUUCAGAGAUUCAUAUUAUCAACAAACUAUGACAGAUAUUUGGGGUGAUUCCUGACUUGUCACAAUUCAGCAGCUCAAGUCCAUAGAGUUGGGAGGUUUAGGGAGGUUUAGGAACUCUAUGGACUGAGUUCCAGUUUCCUGACCUCAGGACAUUCAAUCAUGUAACGUUUCUGUAGGGUAAAGUCCAGGACAUUUUUAGUCUACAUGGGACAUGCAGCCAGUGGGACCAUAUGUGUGAGCUAAAUAUCAGGAUGGGAAAGAUGGAUGUUAGAGAAGUAAAAGCUUUUUAUGGCUCACACCUCUGGUCUUAAUUCUUCUUGUUCUUGGUUUAAAGGAUUGAAAGAAAAUGAAUAAAAAUUAAGAUCAACCAAAGAAAAUGUAGAAAAGUAACAUGGAAAAUGUGUAUGAAAUGUCCAAAUCCAUAGACACAGAAAGUAGAUUAAUGCUUGUCUAGGGCUGGAGAGUGUGGGGCUAGUGGGACAUGGGGGCUAAUUGCUAAUGGGUACAAUGAGUACGAAAUUUCUUUAUGGGGUGCUGAAAAUGCUCCAAAAUUGAUUGCGGUGAUGAUUGCAAAACAGUGAAUAUACUAAAAACCAUCGAACUGUACACUUUAAUAAAGUGGGUGAAUUGUAUGUUGUGUGAAUUAUAUCUCAAUAAAGCUGUUAUAAAAAAAGUAACAAGGGAAAAAAGUUUAUGUCAAAUGAAAACAGAUAAAAAUCAUAAUUAAAUGUUUUUGGGACUUCCCUGGUGGUCCAGUGCUUAAGAAUCUGCCUUCCAAUGCCGGGGAUGCGGGUUUGAUCCCUGGUUGGGGAACUAAGAUCCCACAUGCUGCAGGGCAACUAAGCCCAUGCACUCUGGAGCCCACUUGCCUCAACUAGAGAUAAGCCCAUGUACCGCCACUAAGACCCAACGCAGCCAGCCAAAUAUAUAUAUAUAUAUUUUUUUUUUUUGUUCGUUUGUUUGUUUUUGUUUUUUUUGUGUGUGCGGUACGCGGGCCUCUCACCGCUGUGACCUCUCCCGUUGCGGAGCACAGGCUCCGGACGCGCAGGCUCAGCGGCCACGGCUCACGGGCCCAGCCGCUCCGUGGCAUGUGGGAUCUUCCCGGACCGGGGCACGAACCCGUGUCCCCUGCACCGGCAGGCGGACUCUCAACCACUGCGCCACCAGGGAAGCCCCUAAAUAAAUAUUUUAAAAAAAUGUUUUCACUGAUGCUUAGAAAUUUCCUUGGCUAAAUGAGAAGACGUUGCUGAGAUUCCUCUAGGGCAGAGUUUAGCAAACAUUUUCUGUAAAAGGCCAGAUAGAAAAUAUUUUAGGCUUUGCAGGCCAGGAGGCAAAACCAUAAAUACUAUGUAGGAAUUCAUAUAAUAAGAGAGAAAACAAAUUUCUGCACAUUUCAAAAUGAUAUUAAAAAUAUAAUAAUAAUUGAGUAUAUAUAUUUUUUGUAAUACAGGUCUGCUAAUGAGAAAAACGGAAUUCUUUUUUAGGAGACAACAUUUCACUUAAUUGAGGUUCAAAGUUAAUGUUUCCUAUCCUCAAAUUGAUUGCAAAUUGUACCUCUGAAAAAAAAAAGUUCUUAGCUCAUGGGCCAAAUAAAAAGUCAGUGAGCCAGUUUGCCAACCCCUGCUCUAGAGGACUAAGUUCCUAAAGGCUGGCGUAUUAGUUUCCUAGGGCUUCUGUAACAAGGUACCACAAACUGGGUGGCUUAAAACAGCGGAACUUUAUCUCACAGUUCUAGAGGCCAGAAAUCUGAAAUCAACCUGUUGUAGAGCCUUGCUCCCUCCAAAGCCUCUGAGGGAAGAUACUUCAUUGCCUGCUCUAGCUUCUGGUAGCCCUACGUGUUCCUUGGCUUGGGGCAGCAUAACUCCAAACCCUGACUUUAUCUUCAUAUGGCUCUCUUCCCUCUGUAUCUGUGUUUGUGUUUCUUCUCUUCUUAUAAGGACACCAGUCAUACCCUAAUUCAGUAUGAUCUCAUCUUAACUAAAUAUAUUUGCAUCGACCCUAUUUCUGAGUAAGAUCACACUCAUUUGUACUAUGGGUUAGGACUUGAAUAUAUCUUUUGGAGGUACACAAUUCAACCCACAACAGCAAUGGAUUUGGGCAGAGAGCCCUGGAGGAUCUUUGGGUCAAAGAUGUCCUCCUUAUCAUGUAUUUCUUAGAACAGUGAUGCUACUGAUGAACACCAGAUUUGGCUCAGGUCUCAUCCUAGGGAGCACUUGCAAACAUCGAGCAAAUAGAGAGCACCACCCUUCACGGUUCCCGCAGCUCCAAACCCUGGGACACUUAUUUUUUUAUUGUUUUAAGGCCCUUAGAUAUUAGUUAGUCACUUUCAUUUAAAAAUAUGUCACUUACUAUUAGAAAAAAGGACUAGAAUUCAUUCUGUAUUAGAAUGAAUGUUUCUUAGCUAUUAUUUUGGACUUCCUGGAAGCUUCAUGAUACAUCUGAAAUUUUAUGGACAAAUUUUUGUCUCUUUAGUUUGUCUCCCCCUUAAAACUUUAAGAAAAGCUAUUACUAAGGUCUGGGCAAGAGUUACCGGUGGCUUGUACCAAGGUUGUAGCAGUGUUGAUGGAGAGCGUUGGAUGGAUUAAUGAUUUGUUCAUAGACAGGAUCUGCAGUAUUUGAAAAUUCGUAUAUAUAAGGUUGAGAAGAAGGUGUCAAGAAUGACUUUCAGAAUGAAAUUAGAACACUCCCUAACACCAUACACAAAAAUAAACUCAAAAUGGAUUAAAGACCUAAAUGUAAGGCCAGACACUAUCAAACUCUAAGAGGAAAACAUAGGCAGAACACUCUGUGACAUAAAUCACAGCAAGAUCCUUUUUGACCCACCUCCUAGAGAAAUGGAAAUAAAAACAAAAAUAAACAAAUGGGACCUAAUCAAACUUAAAAGCUAUUGCACAGCAAGGAAACCAUAAACAAGACAAAAAGCCCUCAGAAUGGGAGAAAAUAUUUGCCAACGAAGCAACUGACAAAGGAUUAAUCUCCAAAAUAUAUAAGCAGCUCAUGCAGCUCAAUGUCAAAAAAACAAACAACCCAAUCCAAAAAUGGGCAGAAGACCUAAAUAGACAUUUCUCCAAAGAGGAUAUACAGAUUGCCAACAAACACAUGAAAGGAGGCUCAACAUCACUAAUCAUUAGAGAAAUGCACAUCAGAACUACCAUGAGGAUCACCUCACACUGGUCAGAAUGGCCAUCAUCAAAAAAUCUACAAACAAUAAAUGCUGGAGAGGGUGUGGAGAAAAGGGAACCCUCUUCCACUGUUGGUGGGAAUGUAAAUUGAUACAGCCACUAUGGAGAACAGUAUGGAGGUUCCUUCAAAAACUAAAAACAGAACUACCAUAUGAUCCAUCAAUCCCACUACUGGGCAUAUACCCUGAGAAGACCAUAAUUCAAAAAGAGUCAUGUACCACAAUGUUCAUGGCAGCUCCAUUUACAAUAGCCAGGACAUGGAAGCAACCUAAGUUCCAUCUACAGAUGAGUGGAUAAAGAAGAUGUGGCACAUAUAUACAAUGGAAUAUUACUCAGCCAUAAAGAGAAAUGAAAUUGAGUUAUUUGUAGUGAGGUGGAUGGACCUAGAGUCUGUCAUACAGAGUGAAGUAAGUCAGAAAGAGAAAAAUACUGUAUGCUAACACAUAUAUAUGGAAUCUAAAAAAAAAAAAUUGUUCUGAUGAACCUAAGGGCAGGACAGGAAUAAGACGCAGAUGUAGAGAAUGGACUUGAGGACACGGGAAGGGGGAAGGGUAAGCUGGGAUGAAGUGAGAGAGUGGCAUGGACAUGUAUACACUACCAAAUGUAAAAUAGAUAGCUAGUGGGAAGCAGCUGCACAGCACAGGGAGAUCAACUUGGUGCUUUGUGACCACCUAGAGGGGUGGGAUAGGGAGGGUGGAGGGAGACGUAAGAGGGAGGGGAUAUGGGGAUACAUGUAUACAUAUAGCUGAUUCACUUUGUUAUACAGCAGCAACUAACACAACAAUGUAAAGCAAUUAUACUGCAAUUAAGAUGUUAAAAAAUAAAAUAAACCUGGAAGAGGGCCCUCAGAAAACAAAUAAAAAAGAAUGACUUUCAGCAUGAGCACUUGGGUGGAGAGUGGUUAGAUGGAAUGAAAUAGGGAACUUGGAACAGGUUGGGGUAGAAAGAGGAAGAGCAAAAUGACAGGACAGCUGUCUAUAUGGGUCUGAAACUGGAGAUAUACAUUUGAGAGUGGUUGUUGGGAUUUAAGGGGACCAAUGAAUAAUGCCCCCUAACUUCUGAGUUCAGAAGCAACUUGAGAAAUAGACCUUAGGGAACAAAACCUUAACUUUUGUUAAUUGAUUAAGCUAGAUUAUAGAGUAUAGUUUUGAUCUGUAGACAAACCUGGACUUUUUAAUAUCUUCCCCGAGGACUUAACCUAUUGCCCUGCACUGCUUAUCUCCCUAUUUCAGAAAUAGAGCCUGCCCCAGUAAGAUUGUAUCAUGUAGGAGAGAGGACUUGGGUGCCUGCUGCAGGGGGCACGGAUCCAGAGAGAGAGAGAGAGAGGAGAGGAGAAAGAAGCACCCAAGCUGUCGGGUGGUGGAGAGGACAGGGCUGUCUGGUGGAGAGAAGGCUGGAGGACCUGGUGUGCUGAUGGCUGACAGCAAGAGUGGCCUUCGAGGACCUGCCUCUGAGGGUACCUCUGCGGACCACAACGCUGAGCUGAGACACCACCUCCCGACACGCACAUGGGGCCGGCUCCUCAGCUACACAUCAAACACCAAGUCUGCUGCCCAUGCUGGUUGCCGAGUGAGGUUUGGGCGUUAUAAAAAUGCAAAUUUGGUCCCAGGAUCAUUCGUCUGAGUUCCACUCAGAUUGGAGAGUUACGAGUACAAACUCACCUUUUUCUUCUUCUGAAGAAUCUCUGCGGGAAGGUAGUGAUGAAGUUGUUUUUUUUUAACAUGAGUUGCUUCAAUUUUCAUUCCCUCCUUUAGCAUGUUUAUAUUGUUUGCCUGUCUGUACACUGUAACAGAGUCAGUAUGUUAAAAUGGGGAACUUCCUUCUGAACCAAGGGCUGUUUUCUUUUUCUGAAAUACAUACCUUUAAUAUCUCCACAUCACUACACAAACACACAUUCCUCUUACAGAACAAAUACUUCCAAAACAUUUUCACAAUGUCACAACCCUAUUCAAGUACUGACUAGUUUUCUCAUGUCCAACUUCUAAGACUUCCCCAUAAUCAAAUCUAACAAAAUAAAUGUAUGGAAAAAAGGCUUUUUCCAAAUCUUGUUUUCUGCUAUUUUCCCCAAAGGCAAUGUCUUCUCAUAAUUAUUUGCCCAAGUCUGAGCUAAUCCUAAUACCAAAUAUCCAAGAUGCCAAUUCAAGCUCUCCUCCUCCAUGAAGCUUCUUUUUCUACACCAACCACAGAAUGUUAGACAUGAGAAACCAUCUAAAAGUACAUCCUUAUUAUACAGGUGGGUAAAUGAGGCUCAACAGCCUUGAAUGCCUUGCCAAAAUUGGAAUACACGUAGGCCUAGGUCCCCAGUCUAGUGCUUUUCACUCCUUAUAAGAAAAUAAUUUUUAUUAACUACCAUAUAAAUUAUUUAAUGUACGUUAAUUGUGAAUGCCAAAUUAGAUUAUAAGCUUACUCAAGACAGGGAUGGGAGGUUUCUUUUGCACAGUAAGUACUGUGAAAUGUAAAUUAUUUAAUCUCUUGGGGCCUCAGUAUCUCUAUCUGAAGAAGAACAUUUUAUAAAUCUAUAAUAAACAGAGCUUCCCAACCCCCUCAUUUUGGAAAAAUGAGUCCAAAUUAGAAUGGAAAAAUUUAUAUCUAUGUUUUCAUUCCAGAUUGCUUAUAAAAGAAUCACCAGGAGUGCUUGUUCAGUGUGCAGACUCCUGGCUCCACUCCCAGAGCAUGUGAUUCAGUGGUUCUAGGUGAUGCACAGGAACCUGGAUUUUCAUGAUAAAUGUGAGUGCUAAUUCAAAAGAAUUUAGAAAACUCAGAUGAGCUAACCAAGAAUAUUAAUAGUAUGAAUGUACACUAUUCCAGAUUAUUAAGACAACUCCAAAUUUAUAACAGAUAUAUUAAGAUAUUCCAGGGAGAUAUUCUUAGGGAGCUAGAUGUGAAAGACCCUUUUCACUGAUUCUGAGACAUAUUCAGCAAGCCUGUACUGAAUGAUAUUUAUUUCAUGUAAAAAAAGUAAAAAGCAAGUCGUCUUUAUGACUGUGAUUACGAACACUGGCUGUGCACACUAAGAAUCACCUAUAGACUUUCUUUAGUCUUCUUUUUGUUUUAAAACAGUUAAUACAUUUACAUGGUACAAAACUCAAAGGGGGGAUUUCCCUGGUGGUUGAGCAGUUAAGACUCCACACUCCCAAUGCAGGGGGCCUAGGUUCGAUCCCUGGUCAGGGAACUAGAUCCCACAUGCAUGCUGCAACUAAGAUCCCGCAUGCCACAACUAAAGAUCCCGCACGCGGCAACAAAGAUCCCACAUGCUGCAACUAAGACCUGGUGCAGCCAAAUAAAUUAAAUAAGUAUUUAAAACAACAAUGACAACAACAACAAAAUCUCAAAAGGGUUCAAGAGUAUACAGUGAAGUUGCCUCACUCCUGUCCACUAGACACACCUGGUUCCUUGACCCAAAAGCAACCAGUUCUGCCAGUUUCUUUUUUAAAAAAACUAUAUAUCCCUCCAGAGAUAGUCUAUGUAUUUUUUUUUUUUUUAGUCUAUAUAUUUUUAAGCAAACAUACAUAUAUUCUUUCUUUACACUGGUCUGCAACCCCCCACCCCCCCGCCCACAAACAGGUCUUGGAAGUCGCUUCAUCAUGCCUUUACUUUUUUAAUAGCAGAAUUAAUUUUCAUGAUAUAGCUGUUCCAUCUUCAUUUAACCAAUUGCAGAACUUUAAAAAAUAUAGCCAGCCAGAUCCUAGGCAGGUGAUACUGCGUUACUGCCAAGGUUGAGCACCACAGCUCCAUGAUGACAAAGUCUUACCUGUAUCAGUAAAUGACUGUAUGUCAUAUGUCAAGUCUAUAUUAACACUUUCUGCAUUUUCUACUCUCCGAAAAAUUAUUCCAAGGAACCACAUUGAUACGUAAUUGUUGCUAUAAAAUAAAAAAUUUAAGAAUUUCCAUUAAUUUUUACAAUUUUACAGAUGCUAUUUGGUAAUUAAAACUUGGUCUAUGGAAGCAUAAAUACAAAUGUCAAUGGUUUGGCCAAAUUCUUAAAACUGACACCAAGAACACUGUUAAGUUAUCCUGUGUUAUUAUACAAGAGGAUUAAAUGCUUCGAAAAUGACUUACUAAAUAUAUAUUUAAAGAUGCUCCAAAUAUUGUGAUGGAGUUUUUUGUUGGGGUUUGUGGGCUACCAACAAAGCAUGUACUUAGUUUUAAUGCAUGACAACUCGUGAUCAAGUAUACAAUGUAUUAUCCUCCAUCAAUGCCUGUUAAAUAGCAUCUCACAACUGAUCUUAAACCAUGCAUAUUUCGGAUACCAUUAUUUUAAAAAUAUGAUAUUAAAAAAUAAUUAACUUACUCUUUAUGAUGUUCCUUAUUUCCUGGGAAUGACUGGGGAUUUACAUGGGCAAGAGUAAUAAAUUCAUUCCGUUCCAAAUUUCCAACAAGUACACGUAUUUUAGAUUCUACUAAUCCAACCCUAAAAUAAAAUGACAAGAUUUUUCCAUAUUAAAUGUGGAAGCUACAUCCAAGUAAACCAAACAGCAUAUUAGCUAUGAUGCUUUACAGGGUUCAUUAAAAAAAUUCAGUCCAAUAUUUUAGGGACUCUGUUUAAAAUACCAUUCAGGUAAGUAAGAAGUUACUUAGUGAAUUUCUGUUUCCUUCCCUUUCUUUUUCAAGAAGAACUGAUCUAUUUAAUGCAUUCCUGAUCUAAAAUACCCUGCCUUUUAAGACCAUAAAAUAGUCAUGAUUGGAGCAUGAACAAAAACUGUUCGUUAACCUGGUUCUAAAUCUUUUUCUACUUUCAAAUCUUAUGCCUAAACCCUAAGGCUAACAUAUAUUUAAAUAAUGUUAACAAAAAGAGCUAAUAACUAGCACUUAAUUCAUGAAAUAAACAUGCUCUAAUCUUUACAAAAUUGAUACUAGAUAUUAAAUUUUAAAAAGAAUUCACUAAAA